AGUGCGUGCGCAAUGCGUACGCUUUUCACAUGCCUAAAAAGCAUGUGGAAUAAGAGCCGGGCAAGACCGGUGCCAGCCGCCGCGGUAACACCGGCGGCUCAAGUGGUGGCCGCUAUUAUUGGGCUUAAAGGGUCCGUAGCCGGACCAGUUAGUCCAUUGGGAAAUCUUACGGCUUAACCGUAAGGCUGCCAGUGGAUACUGCUGGUCUUGGGACCGGGAGAGGCAAGAGGUACUUCAGGGGUAGGAGUGAAAUCCUGUAAUCCUUGAGGGACCGCCAGUGGCGAAGGCGUCUUGCUAGAACGGGUCCGACGGUGAGGGACGAAAGCUAGGGGCACGAACCGGAUUAGAUACCCGGGUAGUCCUAGCCGUAAACGAUGCGAGCUAGGUGUCACGUGGAUUGCGAAUCCAUGUGGUGCCGUAGGGAAACCGUGAAGCUCGCCGCCUGGGAAGUACGGCCGCAAGGCUGAAACUUAAAGGAAUUGGCGGGGGAGCACA
rnacentral:rRNA from 1 species